UGAAGCUGGAGGAAUCCAUG
rnacentral:misc_RNA from 1 species